rnacentral:sRNA from 1 species
GCACUUGGAUUUCUCAAGUCACCCGCUUGGUCCUCUUCCAAGUAUACUUUACUUCCUUUCAUUCCUCUCUAAAACUUUUUUAAAAACUUUCACUCCUGCUCUAAAAGUUAUCUUGGUUUCUUACUCUGCCUUAUGCCCCUUGGGUGAAUUUUUUCCUCUGAGGAGGGAAGAAUAGAGUUGCUGCUGCAGACCCAUCAGAUUCCCUACUGGUAACAGCUGGAGUGCGUCACCUCUGACAAAAUUCUGGGGACGCUGGGGACCCUGAAUCACCAUGGGCAAUGAGAACAGCACCUCGGACAACCAGAGGACUUUAUCAGCUCAGACUCCAAGGUCCGCGCAGCCACCCGGGAACAGUCAGAAUAUAAAAAGGAAGCAGCAGGACACGCCCGGAAGCCCUGACCAGAGAGACGCGUCCAGAUGGUAACGACUUCAGCCAGCCUGAAGGGAAGCCACAUUGUUUCCUAAGUUGGCAGUUCCUGUCAGAGGCGUGGACAAGAAAGUGGCUUCGUUUAUUUCCAGCUUGAUAAAGCCGACGUAAAUAGGAGCACUUCAUUUCUGAAUCACACACCAUUAAUCUUAUCACAUA